rnacentral:rRNA from 1 species
UACGUAGGGGGCUAGCGUUGUCCGGAAUCAUUGGGCGUAAAGCGCGCGUAGGCGGCCCGGUAAGUCCGCUGUAAAAGUCAAAGGCUCAACCUUUGAAUGUCAGUGGAUACUGCCGGGCUAGAGUCCGGAAGAGGCGAGUGGAACUCCUGGUGUAGCGGUGGAAUGCGCAGAUAUCAGGAAGAACACCGACGGCGAAGGCAGCUCGCUGGGACGGUACUGACGCUGAGGCGCGAAAAGCGUGGGGGAGCGAAACAGG